rnacentral:lncRNA from 1 species
AUUGAAACCAACUUCAGCACUGAUUCUUCAUCAUCAAGGGUAGAACUAUCUUGUUGCUCCACCAUGGAACUCACCACUCUCCUGUGGAUAAAGUCUGUGUUCACAAAAAUGACUUUGCAUCCAUUCUGAACCAACUUCUGCGAGAAGGUCAUCAUGGGAUUCACAUGCCCUUGUGCUGGAUAUGGUAAAGCUAGCACAGUUGGAGUUCUCAUGUUAACACUCUUUUUAUUUGGUUUCUAUUGAUUCUGAUUUUCUGAGACCAAUUAGCAUGCAUCUAUUCAUCUAUAUAUAGGCACAGCCCCUCACUAUAUCAUAAUCGUGUAUAUACGUACCAAUUACAAUCUAGGUCACGAUCAGUCAAAAUCUUCGGCUAUCAUAAAUUUCAUGUAAGAAGAAAUGUAGAAAGUUUGUGUGUUCACAACAAUAAUUUUGUCAUUCUAUACCUCUUUACAUUUCCUUGUACUUCUCUGAUUCGACUUUAGUGUUUUUAUCAUUAAACUUUUGUUUUUUAGUUUAUUAAUUGAUUUAGCAUUAUGGUGUUAUUUAAUUACGAGAAUCAUGUAAUUAGUGUAAGAAAUUAGACGUGAAGGGUAGGGAAAAAACGGAUGGUGGGUCUUUGAUCUGGGAUGUGGUGGAAGGGGGUCACUAUGAGAUUAUGUGUGCAGAGAGUAGGAUGAGGCAGUGCAGAAUUGUGUAGGUGCUGGUCUAGAUUUGCUCUGUCAUGCAUUGCAUAUUUGUUGCUUUAGUUUUAUCAAUCUAUGUCUUAGCCAAAGGCUAGGAGCUGUUUGGAUAGGAAUGUCUUCUUAACAGCAAAACAGCAAAACUAAUUUGUCCUGCAUAAUUUUGCAUACUAGAUAGGAACUUUGGGAAUGGUUUUGCUAGAUCUAAUUUUUAUAUAAGGGUUCAAACAUUCCUAAAAUAUCCCUUCUAAUUUUAUUUACUUUUUGCUUAUAAAAAAAUUGUAAAAAAUAUUUCUUUUAAUUUAGAUGAAUUUGAAAGGAAAGGUUAAUAAAUGAAAAUUUUCAAAUAAUAAAAAGAUUGGUAGAAGGAUAGUUGAGAAGUGCAACAGAUUGCCUCUAACUUUGAAAACAAUUGGAUGUCUUUUACGCACAAAGUCAUCCAUUUCAGAUUGAAAAAACAUAUUGGAAAGUGACAUAUGGGAGCUACUAAAAGAGCACAAUGAAAUAAUCUCUUUGCUAUUUCUAAGCUAUUGCCACCUUCCUUCUCAGGGUAUUUGAUCAUGAUGGGGUUAUUUUUUUUUGUUUUUACCAAAAUGGAGUCCGUUUAAAAAAAAUUACAAAUUUAGGCAAGUCGUGCCAAUUUGGCACGACUUCAUAUGGACAAAUCGUUCCAAUUUGACACGACUCUGCCAUGUCAUACUAAAAUCGUGCCAACUUGGCACGACUUCUGCCCUGUCAUACCGAAGUCGUGCCAACUUGACACAAAUCUGCCACAUCUUAAUUUUUAAUUUUUUUUAAAAAUUUUAUUGUUUAUAUAUUGGAUAGUAAGUUAUGUAAUGCUAAAAAUUAAUUUGAUACAUAAUUUUUUAAGAGGGUUAGUUUCAAGGAACAAAAAAUUGGAUAUAUAUAAUUAUUUUUAAAUUAUUUAAUUAUUUCAAAAUAAUUACAAAUUAUUUAUAUUAUUUGUUUUAUUUAAAAUUUAUAUAAUUAUUUCAAAAUAAUUACCGUACUUAUACCUUUUUAUAUUUUAAUAUAAAUGACAUUAAAAAAAAUAAACAGGUCAAAAAAUGUAUUAUUUGAAUUGUGAUAAAAAAAAUUAUUACUUUAGAAAAAAAUAAAUAAUUGUAAUACACGAUUAUCCAAUUUUUUGUUCCUUAAAACUAACACUCUUAGAAAAUUAUGUAUCAAAUUAAUUUUUUACAUUACAUAACUUACAACCCAAUAUAUAAACAAUAAUAUUUAAAAUAAAAAUAAAAAUUAUGACAUAACAUAAGUCGUGGCAAGUUGGCAUGACUUCAGUAUGACAGAGGCACGACUUGCCUAAAUUUGUAAUUUUUUUUAAACGGACACCAUUUUGGUAAAAACAAAAAAAAAAUAACCCCAUCAUGGUCAAAAACCCUCAUUCUCAUCUUAAAAGGUGCUUUGCUUAUUGUGUCUUAUUUUCCAAAGAUUAUGAGUUUGUGAAGGAGAAGUUAAUAAUUUUCUUGUGAGUCCACAACAUAUUAGACGUCAAGAAGAAGUUGGUGAACAUUACUUGAAUGAUCUAUUGUCAAGGUCUUUCUUUCAACAAUUAGGGGUCAAAAAGUGUUUUGAACAAUCAUGUCUUAGGAGGUGUUUCGUCAUGCAUGACCUUUUCAAUCAUUUGACAAAUUCAAUAAUUUGACAAAAUAUGUCUGUGUGGAUUUUUGUUCCAGAUUGAAAUUUGAUAAAGGUUUUAAUGGUUUUGGGAGUUUAAGUGAAACUAAAAGCUUCGUUAAUUACGUGUUUAAUAUGUGAAGCUUCUGUCUUGUUCUAAGACAUCUUUGUAGUACUUUUUUCUUCCUGCCCUUACAAGCCAGUGGAUGUAUGUAUCAUAAACUAAUAACUAAUUCCAACUAACUAUAUAAAGAUAACCUUUGCAACACUUAUACCAAAUCAAGUCCCUAUAAAUUUAACCAAAUUCUCUGUUUUUUUAAUUUGGUUCUCUUGAAUGUUUAUUCAGAAAUGUUGUCCCAAUACUGGAUUAUGCUAAAUCAUGGAGAAAUUGAAUUAUUCAUAAUAAACCAUGUCAUUAUGUAACAUGCUUGUCUCAAGUCUUAAUGUGAAAUGCUUUUAAGCUGAAAUCUAAUAUGGUAUAAGAUUCUAUAGCUCAUUUGUGUUUAAUUACAAUAAACUGAGACAAUUUGGGCAUUGAAAUUGUCUUAAAACAGGGUCCAAUGUGCAAGGCCAUACAUCCAUCCAUUUUAUUUUCCUUAAUGUUCAGAACUUUAGACUACUAAAUAUUUUAUUUUUCCUUUUUCUCAUACUUUUGACCCUUCAUGUAUCAUAAUCCAGCAUUCUAUACUUAUAUAAACCAAGAAAAAUGAACUUUUCUAUUUGGACUGAGGAGUGGAUUUGUGAGGAUUAGAGAGUAUGUGUGAGAGGAUAUGUGAGGUUGUUUGGAUUGAGGGAUGAUAGAGUGGAUUUGUGAGGAUGAUUUAUUGUAAGUUUACAAAUUUACCCUUGUUAUUAAAAAAUAUUUAAAUAAUGAAUUAUGAUUUUUUUUAGGUUUGAAUUAAUUAAAUAUUUUUAACAUAUAAUAUCUAUAAUUGUUUAUAUUUUUUAAUAAAAGAUUAAAUAUUUUUUUGUGUUAAAUUGAAAUAAAUUUAUUAAAUACAUUAAAAUUUAUGAAAAUAAUAUUUAUUAUUAUAUUCAUUUGUUACUUUAUAUAACUAUAUAUGGUUGAUAUUAUAAAUUUUUUUGUAUUUUUUAUUUUAUUAUUUAUAAUUAUAUGUUGUUAUUAAUAGUAUAAUUAAAUAUUUUUGAAAUUAUAAAUAAUAAAUAAAUUUAUAUAAUAUUUAAUUUUGUAUAUUGUAAAUAAAAUGGAUGGACAAGAAUAUUUUGGUAAAAUACAAUAAUCCUACAUUAAUCGCCACAAAUCUCUUCAUCAGCAGGGAGAAGGUUUGUCUUCUUUGGGGGACUAACGAAGUAGAUUGGGUCGAAAACAAAGCUACAAACAACGCAGGGGGGUUCUUACGAUGUGGAGUAAUAAGUCGUUUCAGAUGUUUAGUUUUGUAAACGGAAGGAACUAUACUGUGAUUGAAGGUUUUUGGAAGGUUAUUAAUGAGGUUUUUGUAACUAUAGUGAAUGUAUAUUGUUGUGGCUCUUUACGGGAAAAGAAAGAGAUGUGGAAAAAGAUCAAUGGAGUCAGGUUGAAUCAACUAUCAAAGGCGUGGUGUAUUAUUGGAGAUUUUAAUUCUAUUAGACGUAAAAGAAGAGAGGAAGAGUUUGAUUUCGACGUCAGAUUAUUCUAGAGAAAUAAAAGGGUUUAAUGAUUUUAUCAAAAAAUCAGAAUUGGUUGAUAUCCCAUUGGUUGGAAGGAAGUUUACUUCGUAUAAACCCAAUGGUUUGGUGAAGAGCAGAAUCGACAGGGUUCUAGUUUCAAAGGAGUGGCUGGAAUCUUGGCCUCACUGCCAACAAUUCGUUUUAAACAAAUCAAUCUCUGACCAUUGUGCGGUUAUACUUAAAGAGGUGUCAGUGGACUGGGGCCCGAAACCUUUUAGGUGUUUGGAUGUUUGGCAAAAAGAUAGCAGAUUUAAAGAGUUUGUGAGUUCGAGUUGGUCUUCUUAUAGGUUAUAGGAGGUGGGAUUUUUAUUUUCAAAGAAAAAUUGAAAAAACUAAAAGCAUAUUUAAAAGUAUGGAACAAAGAAGUCUUUGGAGGUGUAAAUCUUGCCAGUAAGGAAGUGCAAAAGAAGAUCGAUGAAUUAGAUGUACGAGACAAUGAUGGUGGUUUAGUUGAGUCAGAAAGGGAAGAAAGAAAGUUCCUCUUUGCAAAACUUAAUAAAUUCAAAUUUAAGCAAGAGGCUAUUAUGUUUCAGAAAGCAAGACAAAAGUAGUUAAAACAGGGGGAUCUUAAUACAAAGUUUUUUCACUCUGUAAACUGGAGAAGGGCAAGGAAUCAGUUGCAUGGGGUUUUCGUUAACGGUAAAUGGUGUGAAGAUAAGGAGGUGAUCAAGGACAAGGUUCGUGUUUCCUUUGAAGAUAGGUUUGCCAUGAACGAUGCUUGUCAAGUUAGAUUGGACAAUGUCAGGUUCAGUUCCAUUUCGGAGUCCGAUAAUGAGUUGUUGAUUGGAGAUUUUCUGAAGAUGAGGUUAGGGCUGUAGUUUGGAGUUGUGACAGUUCAAAGAGCCCUGGCUCUGAUGGUUUCAAUGAAAUUUUGCUGGGAUAUCAUUAAAAAGGAUGUGGUGUCGGCAGUGAAGAAUUUUGCGGUUAAUGGUCAUUGACCCAGAGAUUCAAACGCUUUGUUUCUUUGUUUAAUACCAAAAGUAGAAAAUCCUCAGCAGCUCGGUGAGUUUAGACCUAUUUCAUUAGUUGGGUGCUUGUAUAAAAUCAUAUCUAAAGUGCUAUCUCUACGAUUGAAAAAGGUAACUAGUAAAGUUAUUGACGUUAGAUAGUCGACUUUCCUUGAAGGAAGGGGUUUUUCUGGACAGUGUGUUAGUCGCCAAUGAGGUUUUGGAAGAAUAUAAAAGAAAGAGGAAGAGUUGUGUUUUCUUCAAAGUUGACAAUGAGAAGGCGUAUGACUCGGUCAGUUGGGAGUUUAUUUAUUAUAUGCUAAGGAGGUUGGGUUUCUGUGAUCUUUGGAUCUAUUGGAUAAAGGGUUGUUUAGAAUCAGCCUCGGUUUCAGUUCUAGUUAACGGUAGUCCACCUAGGGAGUUCUUUCCUAGGAAGGGACUUCGUUAAGGUCAUCCGCUAGCACCGUUUCUCUUCCUUAUUGUGGCAAAAGGGUUGGCUGGGGUAUCAAGGGUGGCUGAAGAAAAGAUUUGAUUGACAGUUUGGAGGUUGGCAAGGAUAAAGUGAAGGUAAAUAUGUUACAAUAUGCAAAUGAUAUUUUGUUCUUCUGUGAAGCUAACACCAAAAGCGUUUUCAAUAUUAAGGCGAUUUUGCAAUGCUUCGAGCUUUCUUCUGGGCUUAGGGUGAAUUUUUUGAAAAGUAGAAUUGGUGGGACGGGGCUGGAUCAGCUUUCGCUUCAGCGUUUGGCAGCUAUUCUCAACUGCGACGUGAUGGUUUCUCCUUUUGUUUACUUGGGAUUGCCAGUUGGAGGGAAUCACAAGCGUGGUGCCUUUUGGAAUGGGGUGAUAGAGAAAGUUCAGGCUAGGUUGAGCAGGUGGAAAGGGAGGUGCCUUUCGAUGGCUGGGAGGAUCUGUUUGUCAAGUCAGUUCUUUCCUCUAUCCCGUUAUUUUUUAUGUCCUUAUUCAAAUUGCCUUUAGGGGUGGCAAAUAAAUUAGUUAGGAUUCAAAGGAAUUUUCUCUGGGGGUGGGGAUCUGAAGGAAGGAAGAUCGUUUGGGCUUCUUGGCAAAAGGUAUGUAAGCCUCGCGAUUUUUGGGGGGGCUUGGUAUUAUUGAUUUAAAAAAUUUUAACUUGGCUUUGUUAGGAAAAUGGAUUUGGAGGUUGGGUACGGAUAAGGGUGGUCAUUGGAAGGAGAUUCUGGUUUCAAAAUAUGGUGGUUGGAAGUGCUUGAGAAAGGAAGGAAAAAGUCGUAGAAGCUCUCUUUGGUGGAAAGAUUUGAAAGAGGUGUGAGCCUCAGAGGGUUGGGGAAGAAGUUUUGAAGAUGGGUUCAACUGGAAAGUUGGUGAUGGAAAGGAUAUUUCCUUCUGGGAGGAUAAUUGGUUGGGUUGCGAUGCGUUGAAGAGAGCCUUUCCGAGACUGUUCUCUUUGUGUUUGGCCAAAGAGACAAAGGUGGCAGAGCUUGGAUCUUGGUCUAAUUGUGUUUGAGUUUGACAUUUAGUCCGGCGAAGACCUUUUUUCGAAUGGGAGAAGCCUUUGGUGGAUCAAUUUUGGCAGGUAUUGCAAGGUGUUAGGUUGAUUUUGGGAGAGGCGGAUAGUUGUGUUUGGAAGGUCGGGGAUCUUCAGAAGUUUUCAGUUAACUCUGCUUAUAUGCAUGUUAGGAGGGAUAGUGAGGUGGAAGGUUCUCCGGUAUUCAAUAAGUUGUGGAGAUGUAAAGCCGUACCUUUUGCUUUAUUUACUGUUUGGAGGGUUCUGGAGAAUAAGACUGCUACUAGGGUCAAUCUGGAAAGGCGAGGGGUGAUGGUUGAAAAUGCUUUGUGUUGUCUGUGUGGGAAGGAGGAAGAGUCUUCCGCCAUUUGUUUUUUAUUGCAAUUUUACUUGGCGUGUUUGGUGUUUUUGCUAUAAGUGGCUUGGAGUUUCGUUUGUGUCUCACAUUGAUCCUAAGUCCAACUUUGCUCAUUUCUGGAUGAGUCAGUCUUCAAACUCGGUUAACAUUGUGUGGAGUACAAUUUGGGUGGGGGUUGUGAGUGAAAUCUGGAAUCACAGGAACCUUAUCAUUUUCAAAAGGGGUGUGACUGAUGUGUCAGAAAUGCUUGCAAUGGUGCAAGUAAAGGUUUGGUCUUGGAUUUCCACAAAAUCUCGUUCUGCUUCGUUUUCCUAUUCUGAUUGGUGUUUAGAACCUUCGGCAUGCAUGAUGAUUGUUCCUUGAAGUUUUUACGUGUUAGUUUGGUUAGUGCUUUCAUCAGUUAGGUAGGCGGUUCUAGUUAAAAGUUGGUUCUCAUUUAUUUAUUGUUUAUUGCUGAUAAAAAUAAAAUAAAAUAAAAAGAACCAUCCACCCUCUCUCCAUCCACUCUCCCACCCUCAAAAUCUUUGAAACAAACAAAAAAAAAAUAUUCCCUCCCUCCUGAAAACAAACAUGUGGACCACCAUGAAUUAAGUUUCUUUUGACUCUUUCUCCUCCACUGUCAGAAUCAUGUGGUGGAUCAGAAGUUGAGAUUGAAAUUGUUUAACAAUCAUCUUUUCGAAUUUUUAAUCCUUUUCUUAUCUUAGUCUGCCUUGUGUAUUUGUAUGUGUAUUAUUUGUGUGGUUAUUGGAAACUUUCUUGUGUCUUUUUAUAGUUAUAACACAUUCUUUUAGUUUAUCUAUUUAAUUGUUUAUAUAAAAAAAUGUCAGUUUAUUAUCAUGUAACUUGAACUAUAUUCAGGAUCAGUUCGAAAAAUAUACAAGUUUAUUUCUUACCUAUUAUAGAAUAAGAAAUGACCCAUUUUUACAUUUCAAAAAUAUUUUAUGAAAUUGAAAUAAAUAUGAUUAAUAAAGAAAAUUUAUAAUAAAAUGAUAAAAAUAUCUAUUUUUAUCAUAAUUUCUACCAUGACCGUCUAUUUUAUUUAAUAAUAUGGUGAAAUCAACAAAGAAUAACAUAAUGAAUUGGGUAUUGCACAUACACAUUCAUUGCCAAUUGUAACUGCAUGGGUUAUCGAAAUGAUUGCAUCCAUUAUUGAGGGACUAUCAUCAUAUAUAAUACAAGUUUUUUUUGUAAUUAAUAUCAAGUUAGUUUGGACUGGGAAUAAAGUUGUUUAACUUUUUUUGAUUUAUUUGUUUUUGACGGUUUUAAAAAAGACAAUACCAAAUUAUGUAAGGUUUACUUUUUUGCUAUGGCUAUUAUGAACUGUUUUUUUGAGAGUUCUGAUGUAACAUUCUUUUACUGAUGUAAUUUUAGAGGACUAUUUAAAAUAGUUUUUUUUUAUAGAUUGGAAUAUGCCUUAAACAUUCCUAUUUGUUUAAUUUAUUUCUGAUAAAAAAACGGUAAAAUAAAACACUAAUCCAAAACUAUAAUUAACCUAAGCACAAAUCUGAACUCUUAUUCCUUUAUCUCCUUCACAAAGCUCUUAAAGUUCUCAUAAGAUGUUCCUCCUUUUGCUAUGUUCUUCAUCACUUUCUCCUUCAACACCACACACCUACAUUUUAUGUUCUCAUCAUUAAAUAAUUGUUCCACUUUGGUUUUCAACUCUCCACGUGAAACAAUCCCAUUUUGAUCCUUGUCAAUCCCCAACCCAACCUUUAACUCAUCACAAAUAUGUGCUUUGUUGUAAAGUUGCUCUCCAAAGUAUGGCCAACACAAGAAAGGUACUCCAUUGGACAAACUUUCCAUGGUAGAAUUCCAACCACAAUGAGUGAGAAAACAUGCUAUGGCAGGGUGACUUAAAACCUUUUGUUGAGGAGCCCAAUUCACUAUCUUACCCUUAUGCCCUUGGAAUUCAUGAGGGUAUGCCAUUUUAUUGUCUUCUCUUAUAACCCAAAGAAAAGGUCUAUUGGUGAGGUCUAGUCCAAGGGCAAGUUCAUUGAAUUGGUUUUGGUCAAAAAGAGUGAAACUACCAAAGGCAGCAUACAACACAGAACCAUCAGCUUGUUCAUCUAGCCAACUCAUGCAAGAGUGGUCUUCUUUCCAGAAUUGUCCCAUUGGUUUUGUAAUUGCACUUUUGUUGCCAUCAUUACCAUUGCUUCUCAACACUGGCCCAAUUGGGAUGAUCUUGGGAAGAAAUAAUAAUGUCCCAGGUUCAAGUUCAUGUGAGGUGUUGCAAAGCCACCACUGUGUCAAAUGUAAACUUCGUGUGCAAUGCAGCAGAUACUGAAGCAUUUUCUUACCAGUUAGGCCACCCAUAUUCAACCAAAAAAAGUCUUCUGUAUCCAUCUCAGGCAUACUUGGCGAAAUCUGAAUUCUCUUUUUCGUGGUUAAUGUUAAAUCUUCAGUGAAAAACCAACAAAAGAAUAUAUUAGUUUAUACAACGUAUAAAUUAAAUUAUAAAUUAUGUUCAAACUUAACUAUACAUAAUAUUCUCACCUAAAUCAGAGACUAUAAUUCCCUCAUCAAUAAGCACAGGGAUGUUGUACAGCAAGGUGAAAAAAGUUGCUGAUGCAGGACACAACACAGCUCCUUUGAUUCCCAAUUUACUCCCAACAUCCAAAGCCCAAGCCAUGCACAAAUCAACAACAAUGAAGUUGAUUCUGUUCUCACCUUUCAAAUGAAUAUCCUCUAUGAGCUUCUCAAGUGCUUCUGGCAUGGUGUUUGGAAUGGCAUCACACAUCUUGGCCAGAUCGUUUCUGUCAUCAUCAGGUCCUAAACCAUCAGGGAUUGAAACCAACUUCAGCACUGAUUCUUGUUCAUCAGGGCUAGAACUAUCUUGUUGCUCCACCAUGGAACUCACCACUCUCCUGUGGUUAAAGUCUGUGUUCACAAAAAUGACUUUGCAUCCAUUCUCAAGCAGCUUCUGUGAGAAGGUCAUCAUGGGAUUCACAUGCCCUUGUGCUGGAUAUGGUAAAGCUAUCACAGUUGGAGUUCUCAUGUUAACACUGUUUUUAUUUGGUUUCUAUUGAUUCUGAU